rnacentral:rRNA from 1 species
UACGAAGGGGGCUAGCGUUGUUCGGAAUUACUGGGCGUAAAGGGCGCGUAGGCGGCGUGUCAAGUCAGGCGUGAAAGCCCCGGGCUCAACCUGGGAACCGCGCUUGAGACUGGCAUGCUCGAGUUCGGGAGAGGAUGGUGGAAUUCCCAGUGUAGAGGUGAAAUUCGUAGAUAUUGGGGAAGAACACCGAUGGCGAAGGCAGCCAUCUGGACCGACACUGACGCUGAGGC